AAAUUUAGGAUAAAUAAAACCAAGGGCCUUCAAAGCCCUAAAUAGGGGCCCARACCCUCUAAUUUCUG
rnacentral:tRNA from 1 species